rnacentral:lncRNA from 1 species
ACAUACUUGGCUUACAAUCGCCACUUCACACAAUACAUGAAUAAAGCAUUACAACAUCCAGAUACAAUCAAGGUCCGACUACGGAACCAAAAUAAAAUAAGACUACCCCUGAUGCUAAAGAUCCCCGAUCGUCCCAACUGGGCUCCACUACUGAUCAACUGAAACGAAACAACAUAAUGAACAAGAUCUUCAUCGAGCUCCUCCUUGAGCUCAGUUGCGUCACCUGCAAGGUAUCAUCGGCACCUGCAAACUGGUUUUGGAAGUAUCUGUGAGUCACAGGGACUCAGCAAUCUCACACCCUCGCGAUUAAGACUAUUUAAGCUUAUGGGUAGGUAAAAGGUAUGUGAGGUGGAGCUGCAGCAAGCACUAGCAUAUAUGGUGGCUAACAUACGCAAAUGAGAGCGAGAAGAGAAGGCAAAGCACGGUCGAGAAUCUAUGAUCAAGAAGUGAUCCUAGACUACUUACGUUCAAUCAUAACUCUAACACCGUGUUCACUUCCAGGUCUCCGCCGGAAAGAGACCAUCACGGCUACACACACGGUCGAUGCAUUUUAAUUAAGUUAAGUGUCAAGUUCUCUACAACCGGACAUUAACAAAUUCUCAUCUGCCCAUAACCACGGGCACGGCUUUCGAAAGUUCAUAACCCUGCAAGGGUGUCCCAACUUAGCCCAUCACAAUCUCUCACAGUCAACGAAGGAUAUUCCUUCUCCCAGGAAGACCCGAUCAGACUCGGAAUCCCGGUUACAAGACAUUUCGAAAAUAGUAAAACAAGACCAGCAAAGCCACCCAGAUGUGCCGACAAAUCCUGAUAGGAGCUGCACAUGUCUCGUUCUCAGGGCACAUCGGAUUAGCAAGAUGUCGGGUUGGCAUAAACCCUGGUUGCCCAGGGGGCGCCGGACAUCGCUUAGGUUGGACCAACACUUAGAGAAGCACUGGCCCGGGGGGUUUAAAUAAAGAUGACCCUUGAGUCUGUAGAACCCAAGGGAAAAAGGCUAGGUGGCAAAUGGUAAAACCAAGGUUGGGCCUUGCUGGAGGAGUUUUAUUCAAGGCAAACUAUCAAGGGGUUCCCAUUAUGACCCAACCGCGUAAGGAUCGCAAAAUCAAGGAACAUAACACCGGUAUGACGGAAACUAGGGCGACAAGAGUGGAACAAAACACCAGGCAUAAGGUCGAGCCUUCCACCCUUUACCAAGUAUAUAAAUGCAUUAGUAUAAAUAAGAGAUAUUGUGAUAUCCCAACAAAUAUCCAUGCUCCAACAAGGAACAAACUCCAAUCUUCACCUGCAACUAGCAAUGCUAUAAGAGGGGCUGAGCAAAGCGGUAACAUAGCCAAACAACGGUUUGGUAGGACAAGGUGGGUUAGAGGUUUGACAUAGCAAAAUGGGAGGCAUGAUAUAGCAAGUGGUAGGUAUCGUGGCAUAGGCAUAGCAAUAGAGCGAGAAACUAGCAAGCAAAGAUAGAAGUGAUUUCGAGGGUAUGGUCAUCUUGCCUGAAAUCCCGCAAGGAAGAAGAACAAGUCCAUGAAGAAGUCAAACAGACGAAGUCGAACGGAUCCUCAGAAACACGACAUUAUCGGAACUAACCCGAAGAGGCAAC